UACGGAGGGAGCUAGCGUUGUUCGGAAUUACUGGGCGUAAAGCGUGCGCAGGCGGUGAUGUAAGACAGAUGUGAAAUCCCCGGGCUCAACCUGGGAACUGCAUUUGUGACUGCAUAGCUAGAGUACGGUAGAGGGGGAUGGAAUUCCGCGUGUAGCAGUGAAAUGCGUAGAUAUGCGGAGGAACACCGAUGGCGAAGGCAAUCCCCUGGACCUGUACUGACGCUCAUGCACGAAAGCGUGGGGAGCAAACAGG
rnacentral:rRNA from 1 species